rnacentral:rRNA from 1 species
UACGUAGGCAGCAAGCGUUGUUCGGAAUUACUGGGCGUAAAGAGUGUGUAGGCGGUGCUCCAAGUCUGGUGUGAAAUCUCCCGGCUUAACUGGGAGGGUGCAUUAGAAACUGGAAUGCUAGAGGAUGGGAGAGGUAAGCGGAAUUCCUGGUGUAGCGGUGAAAUGCGUAGAUAUCAGGAGGAACACCUGUGGUGUAGACAGCUUACUGGACCAUUUCUGACGCUGAGACACGAAAGCGUGGGUAACAAACAGG